AGAGUUUGAUCCCGGCUCAGGACGAACGCUGGCGGCGUGGAUAAGGCAUGCAAGUCGAACGCGAACAGAACAACUAAUUCGUUAGUAGUUCUCAGUAGAGUGGCGAACGGGUGAGUAACACGUGGAUAACAUACCUUUCAGUGGGGAAUAACAUCGGGAAACUGAUGCUAAUACCGCAGAUGUCAUUUCAUUGAUUUUGAUUUGACUAAAGGGGGGGCUCCUUAGGGACCUCUCGCUGAUUGAUUGGUCCGCGGCCCAUUAGCUCGUUGGUGGGGUAAUGGCCUACCAAGGCAACGAUGGGUAGCCGGCCUGAGAGGGUGUCCGGCCACACUGGGAUUGAGAUACGGCCCAGACUCCUUCGGGAGGCAGCAGUCGAGAAUCUUCCACAAUGUACGAAAGUAUGAUGGAGCGACGCCGCGUGUGUGAUGAAGGCUUUAUGAGUUGUAAAGCACUGUCAGAGGGGAAGAACAAGCGUAUAAAUAAUAAGUAUACGCUCUGACGUACCCUCAAAGGAAGCUCCGGCUAACUCCGUGCCAGCAGCCGCGGUAAUACGGGGGGAGCAAGCGUUGUCCGGAAUCAUUGGGCGUAAAGGGCACGUAGGCGGUUUGGUAAGUCGAAUGUGAAAUCUCAUGGCUUAACUGUGAAACUGCGUUCGAAACUACCAAACUUGAGUACUGGAGAGGUAUGCGGAAUUCCUGGUGUAGCGGUGGAAUGCGUGGAUAUCAGGAAGAACACCAGUGGCAAAGGCGGCAUACUGGCCAAGUACUGACGCUGAGGUGCGAAAGCGU
rnacentral:rRNA from 1 species